UACGAAGGGGGCAAGCGUUGUUCGGAAUUACUGGGCGUAAAGGGCUCGUAGGCGGCCAACUAAGUCAGACGUGAAAUCCCUCGGCUUAACCGGGGAACUGCGUCUGAUACUGGAUGGCUUGAGAUUGGGAGAGGGAUGCGGAAUUCCAGGUGUAGCGGUGAAAUGCGUAGAUAUCUGGAGGAACACCGGUGGCGAAGGCGGCAUCCUGGACCAACACUGACGCUGAGGAGCGAAAGCUAGGGGAGCAAACGGG
rnacentral:rRNA from 1 species